rnacentral:rRNA from 1 species
UACAGAGGUCUCAAGCGUUGUUCGGAUUCAUUGGGCGUAAAGGGUGCGUAGGCGGCGCGGUAAGUCGGGUGUGAAAUCUCAGGGCUUAACUCCGAAACUGCAUUCGAUACUGCCGUGCUUGAGGACUGGAGAGGAGACUGGAAUUUACGGUGUAGCGGUGAAAUGCGUAGAUAUCGUAAGGAAGACCAGUGGCGAAGGCGGGUCUCUGGACAGUUCCUGACGCUGAGGCGCGAAAGCGUGGGGAGCAAACAGG